GGCCUUGCGCUCUUUGAGCGGCCGAUGUCAGAUUAGCUAGUUGGUGAGGUAACGGCUUACCAAGGCGACGAUCUGUAGCGGGUCUGAGAGGAUGAUCCGCCACACUGGAACUGAGACACGGUCCAGACUCCUACGGGAGGCAGCAGUGGGGAAUUUUGGACAAUGGGGGCAACCCUGAUCAGCCAUGCCGCGUGAGUGAAGAAGGCCUUCGGGUUGUAAAGCUCUUUCGGCCGGGAAGAAAUCGCAUGGGCCAAUACCCUGUGUGGAUGACGGUACCGGAAUAAGAAGCACCGGCUAACUACGUGCCAGCAGCCGCGGUAAUACGUAGGGUGCGAGCGUUAAUCGGAAUUACUGGGCGUAAAGCGUGCGCAGGCGGUUUUGUAAGACAGGCGUGAAAUCCCCGGGCUCAACCUGGGAACUGCGUUUGUGACUGCAAGGCUAGAGUACGGCAGAGGGGGGUGGAAUUCCACGUGUAGCAGUGAAAUGCGUAGAGAUGUGGAGGAACACCAAUGGCGAAGGCAGCCCCCUGGGUCGAUACUGACGCUCAUGCACGAAAGCGUGGGUAGCAAACAGGAUUAGAUACCCUGGUAGUCCACGCCCUAAACUAUGUCAACUAGGUGUUGGGUGGGUAAAACCAUUUAGUACCGUAGCUAACGCGUGAAGUUGACCGCCUGGGGAGUACGGCCGCAAGGUUAAAACUCAAAGGAAUUGACGGGGACCCGCACAAGCGGUGGAUGAUGUGGAUUAAUUCGAUGCAACGCGAAAAACCUUACCUACCCUUGACAUGCCAGGAACUUGCCAGAGAUGGCUUGGUGCCCGAAAGGGAGCCUGGACACAGGUGCUGCAUGGCUGUCGUCAGCUCGUGUCGUGAGAUGUUGGGUUAAGUCCCGCAACGAGCGCAACCCUUGUCGUUAAUUGCCAUCAUUUAGUUGGGCACUUUAGCGAGACUGCCGGUGACAAACCGGAGGAAGGUGGGGAUGACGUCAAGUCCUCAUGGCCCUUAUGGGUAGGGCUUCACACGUCAUACAAUGGUCGGUACAGAGGGUCGCCAAGCCGCGAGGUGGAGCCAAUCCCAGAAAGCCGAUCGUAGUCCGGAUUGCAGGCUGCAACUCGCCUGCAUGAAGUCGGAAUCGCUAGUAAUCGUGGAUCAGCAUGUCACGGUGAAUACGUUCCCGGGUCUUGUACACACCGCCCGUCACACCAUGGGAGCGGGUUCCGCCAGAAGUAGGUAGCCUAACCGCAAGGAGGGCGCUUACCACGGCGGGGUUCGUGACUGG
rnacentral:rRNA from 1 species